AAUAUCGAAAAGAGGUCGCGGGUUUCAAUAGUAAGAUGACUUAGUUGGGAAAAAGACGGAGGUCAUGUGAAAGGGGAGCCUGCCGAAGGUACCAGUGAUUUUCCGCGCUGGUAGCUGGGGCCCUGCAUAAGAUGCUGGGAACUGUCGUGGAGGAAUACUUCCACGGGGCGCUAUCGAGAUG
rfam:Lactobacillus acidipiscis strain DSM 15353 Scaffold85, whole genome shotgun sequence.